CAGUCGCCGCGGUAAUACGUAGGGUGCGAGCGUUAAUCGGAAUUACUGGGCGUAAAGCGUGCGCAGGCGGUUUCGUAAGACAGAGGUGAAAUCCCCGGGCUCAACCUGGGAACUGCCUUUGUGACUGCGAAGCUAGAGUACGGCAGAGGGGGGUGGAAUUCCACGUGUAGCAGUGAAAUGCGUAGAGAUGUGGAGGAACACCGAUGGCGAAGGCAGCCCCCUGGGCCGAUACUGACGCUCAUGCACGAAAGCGUGGGUAGCAAACAGGAUUAGAUACCCGCGUAGUCCCUGUCUCUUAUAC
rnacentral:rRNA from 1 species